GCCCAGGUGGCGAAAUUGGUAGACGCACUACCUUGAGGUGGUAGCGCCUUCACGGGCAUGCUGGUUCAAAUCCAGUCCUGGGCACCA
rnacentral:tRNA from 1 species